AAUUGAUGAUGUGGACAUUUAUGAAGUAGGUCCCUAAAAAGCUCCUAGGUCUCAAUGAAACAUUUCCUAUCCAUCUGUGUGAAACUUGUGAUUGCCCUUCAUAGAU